GAUGAACGCUGGCGGCGUGCUUAACACAUGCAAGUCGAACGAAGCACUUUGGACAGAUUCUUCGGAUGAAGUCCUCAGUGACUGAGUGGCGGACGGGUGAGUAACGCGUGGGUAACCUGCCUCAUACAGGGGGAUAACAGUUAGAAAUGGCUGCUAAUACCGCAUAAGCGCACGGUACUGCAUGGUACAGUGUGAAAACUCCGGUGGUAUGAGAUGGACCCGCGUUGGAUUAGCUAGUUGCAGGUACGCCUACAGGCGACGAUCCAUAGCCGGCUGAGAGGGUGGACGGCCACAUUGGGACUGAGACCACGGGCCCAGGUACUCCGUA
rnacentral:rRNA from 1 species